rnacentral:rRNA from 1 species
GAAUAUUGGACAAUGGGCGAAAGCCUGAUCCAGCCAUGCCGCGUGUGUGAAGAAGGUCUUCGGAGUGUAAAGCACUUCAAGUUGGGAGGAAGGGCAGUCAGCGAAUACCUUGCUGUUUUGACGCUACCGACACAAUAAGCACCGGCUAACUCUGCGCCAGCCGCCGCGGGAAUACAGAGGGUGCAAGCGUUAACCGGAAUUACUGGGCGUAAAGCGCGCGUAGGUGGUUCGUUAAGUUGGAUGUGAAAUCCCCGGGCUCAACCUGGUAACUGCAUCCAAAACUGGCGAGCUAGAGUAGGGCAGAGGGUGGUGGAAUUUCCUGUGUAGCGGUGAAAUGCGUAGAUAUAGGAAGGAACACCAGUGGCGAAGGCGACCACCUGGGCUCAUACUGACACUGAGGUGCGAAAGCGUGGGGAGCAAACA